rnacentral:hammerhead_ribozyme from 1 species
ACAGCUGACGAGUCCCAAAUAGGACGAAACGUGCGUCCUGGAU